rnacentral:tRNA from 1 species
GGGGGUGUGGUGGAAUUGGUAUACACAGGGUCCUUGGUAAGCCGUUUUUGAAAGACGGCUUACCAAGGCCCCGUCUUAGGAUAUGAGGGUUCGAACCCCUCCACCCCCA